GAUGAACGCUGGCGGCGUGCCUAAUACAUGCAAGUCGAGCGAACGGACGAGAAGCUUGCUUCUCUGAUGUUAGCGGCGGACGGGUGAGUAACACGUGGAUAACCUACCUUUAAGACUGGGAUAACUUCGGGAAACCGUAGCUAAUACCGGAUAAUAUUUUGAACCGCAUGGUUCAAAAGUGAAAGACGGUCUUGCUGUCACUUAUAGAUGGAUCCGCGCUGCAUUAGCUAGUUGGUAAGGUAACGGCUUACCAAGGCAACGAUGCAUAGCCGACCUGAGAGGGUGAUCGGCCACACUGGAACUGAGACACGGUCCAGACUCCUACGGGAGGCAGCAGUAGGGAAUCUUCCGCAAUGGGCGAAAGCCUGACGGAGCAACGCCGCGUGAGUGAUGAAGGUCUUCGGAUCGUAAAACUCUGUUAUUAGGGAAGAACAUAUGUGUAAGUAACUGUGCACAUCUUGACGGUACCUAAUCAGAAAGCCACGGCUAACUACGUG
rnacentral:rRNA from 1 species